AUUUCCUACGGGGCGCAGCAGUAGGGAAUCUUCCACAAUGGACGCAAGUCUGAUGGAGCAACGCCGCGUGAGUGAAGAAGGUUUUCGGAUCGUAAAACCCUGUUGUUAGAGAAGAAAGUGCGUGAGAGUAACUGUUCACGUUUCGACGGUAUCUAACCAGAAAGCCACGGCUAACUACGUGCCAGCAGCCGCGGUAAUACGUAGGUGGCAAGCGUUAUCCGGAUUUAUUGGGCGUAAAGGGAACGCAGGCGGUCUUUUAAGUCUGAUGUGAAAGCCUUCGGCUUAACCGGAGUAGUGCAUUGGAA
rnacentral:rRNA from 1 species